UACGAAGGGGGCUAGCGUUGCUCGGAAUUACUGGGCGUAAAGCGCACGUAGGCGGAUUGUUAAGUCGGGGGUGAAAUCCUGGAGCUCAACUCCAGAACUGCCUUCGAUACUGGCGAUCUCGAGUUCGGGAGAGGUGAGUGGAACUGCGAGUGUAGAGGUGAAUUUCGUAGAUAUUCGCAAGAACACCAGUGGCGAAGGCGGCUCACUGGCCCGAUACUGACGCUGAGGUGCGAAAGCGUGGGGAGCAAACAGG
rnacentral:rRNA from 1 species